CUGGUUCCCAUAUGAUCAUUGAAGUUAAGCAAUGUCAAGCCUAGUCAGUACCUAGAUGGGUAACCACUUGGGAAUACCAGGUGUUG